AGCGAACGCUGGCGGCAGGCCUAACACAUGCAAGUCGAACGAACCUUUCGGGGUUAGUGGCGGACGGGUGAGUAACACGUGGGAACGUGCCUUUAGGUUCGGAAUAACUCAGGGAAACUUGUGCUAAUACCGAAUGUGCCCUUCGGGGGAAAGAUUUAUCGCCUUUAGAGCGGCCCGCGUCUGAUUAGCUAGUUGGUUGAGGUAAUGGCUCACCAAGGCGACGAUCAGUAGCUGGUCUGAGAGGAUGAUUAGCCACAUUGGGACUGAGACACGGCCCAAACUCCUACGGGAGGCAGCAGUGGGGAAUCUUGCGCAAUGGGCGAAAGCCUGACGCAGCCAUGCCGCGUGAAUGAUGAAGGUCUUAGGAUUGUAAAAUUCUUUCACCGGGGACGAUAAUGACGGUACCCGGAGAAGAAGCCCCGGCUAACUUCGUG
rnacentral:rRNA from 1 species